UCAAAACAGAAUGAUAUCUUACUUUUUAUUUAUUUUGGGUCAAAAACAAGAAUGAUAUCUUUCUAUGUUAAAGCAUUGUUGUACAUUGCCAAUCAUGGGGCUGAAAAAUUGAUACUAACCCAAAGAUAUAUUUAACAAAUAUGCUCCGGCCCAUAUGUGAAGUUUUGGCAGGAAAGAUUGUAAAGAAAAUAAGAGGGUGUAUUCAUUAGAAAAGUUUGGCAUGAUUAGAAUUAAAAUAACUAAUCAAUU
rnacentral:lncRNA from 1 species